UAAGGGGGGCAUAAAACAUAUCUGGGGGUAAAAGGUAUAUCAGGGGGCUCAGUUGCAUAUCACUGGCAUAUAAGGAGUAUAAGGCAUAUCAGGGGCACAGUGGCAUAUCAGGGGGCACAGUGGAAUCUGUGGCAUAUAAGAGGUAUAAGGCAUAUAUGGGGGCAGAGUGGCAAGCUGGGGGUCAGAUGUGCAUAACCGGGGGCAGUUUGGUAAAUAAAAAAAAUGUAAACAAGGCUUUUUUCUCAUAGUUUUUAUUAAAUAUGAAAAAUAGUUAACAUAUGAAUUAAUAUUUACUAAUAACUUUGUAUUAAAACCUAGUUUGAGAAACACUGUGUUUGGGUUCUUGUAGCUUUUAUUAUGUCAGUAAAAUAAGAAGGUGAAUAGAGAGAGGCCAUUGCAAUAAAGAGAUGAAAGUGUAAA